rnacentral:rRNA from 1 species
GACGUAGGAUGCAAGCGUUGUCCGGAAUUAUUGGGCGUAAAGAGUUCGUAGGCGGUUAUCUAAGUCUGGUGUUAAAGCCCGAAGCUCAACUUCGGCAUGGCAUUGGAAACUGGGUAGCUAGAGUGUGGUAGAGGUCUCGGGAAUUCCUGGUGUAGCGGUGAAAUGCGCAGAUAUCAGGAGGAACACCGAUUGCGAAGGCAGCUCGCUGGGACGUUACUGACGCUGAGACGCGAAAGCGUGGGGAGCAAACAGG